rnacentral:rRNA from 1 species
GACGUAGGGGGCCAGCGUUGUUCGGAAUUACUGGGUGUAAAGGGUUCGUAGGCGGUGUAGCAAGUCGGGAGUGAAAUCUCUGGGCUUAACCCAGAGGCUGCUUCCGAAACUGCUGUGCUUGAGUGUGGGAGAGGCGCGUGGAAUUGCAGGUGUAGCGGUGAAAUUCGUAGAUAUCGGGAGGAACACCAGUGGCGAAGGCGGCGACCUGGGCCAAUACUGACGCUGAGGUGCGAAAGCGUGGGGAGCAAACAGG